AUUGAACGCUGGCGGCAUGCCUUACACAUGCAAGUCGAACGGCAGCACGGAGCUUGCUCUGGUGGCGAGUGGCGAACGGGUGAGUAAUAUAUCGGAACGUACCCUGGAGUGGGGGAUAACGUAGCGAAAGUUACGCUAAUACCGCAUACGAUCUAAGGAUGAAAGUGGGGGAUCGCAAGACCUCAUGCUCGUGGAGCGGCCGAUAUCUGAUUAGCUAGUUGGUAGGGUAAAAGCCUACCAAGGCAUCGAUCAGUAGCUGGUCUGAGAGGACGACCAGCCACACUGGAACUGAGACACGGUCCAGACUCCUACGGGAGGCAGCAGUGGGGAAUUUUGGACAAUGGGCGAAAGUCUGAUCCAGCAAUGCCGCGUGAGUGAAGAAGGCCUUCGGGUUGUAAAGCUCUUUUGUCAGGGAAGAAACGGUGAGAGCUAAUAUCUCUUGCUAAUGACGGUACCUGAAGAAUAAGCACCGGCUAACUACGUGCCAGCAGCCGCGGUAAUACGUAGGGUGCAAGCGUUAAUCGGAAUUACUGGGCGUAAAGCGUGCGCAGGCGGUUUUGUAAGUCUGAUGUGAAAUCCCCGGGCUCAACCUGGGAAUUGCAUUGGAGACUGCAAGGCUAGAAUCUGGCAGAGGGGGGUAGAAUUCCACGUGUAGCAGUGAAAUGCGUAGAUAUGUGGAGGAACACCGAUGGCGAAGGCAGCCCCCUGGGUCAAGAUUGACGCUCAUGCACGAAAGCGUGGGGAGCAAACAGGAUUAGAUACCCUGGUAGUCCACGCCCUAAACGAUGUCUACUAGUUGUCGGGUCUUAAUUGACUUGGUAACGCAGCUAACGCGUGAAGUAGACCGCCUGGGGAGUACGGUCGCAAGAUUAAAACUCAAAGGAAUUGACGGGGACCCGCACAAGCGGUGGAUGAUGUGGAUUAAUUCGAUGCAACGCGAAAAACCUUACCUACCCUUGACAUGGCUGGAAUCCUCGAGAGAUUGAGGAGUGCUCGAAAGAGAACCAGUACACAGGUGCUGCAUGGCUGUCGUCAGCUCGUGUCGUGAGAUGUUGGGUUAAGUCCCGCAACGAGCGCAGCCCUUGUCAUUAGUUGCUACGAAAGGGCACUCUAAUGAGACUGCCGGUGACAAACCGGAGGAAGGUGGGGAUGACGUCAAGUCCUCAUGGCCCUUAUGGGUAGGGCUUCACACGUCAUACAAUGGUACAUACAGAGCGCCGCCAACCCGCGAGGGGGAGCUAAUCGCAGAAAGUGUAUCGUAGUCCGGAUUGUAGUCUGCAACUCGACUGCAUGAAGUUGGAAUCGCUAGUAAUCGCGGAUCAGCAUGUCGCGGUGAAUACGUUCCCGGGUCU
rnacentral:rRNA from 1 species